ensembl:misc_RNA Gm27636 predicted gene, 27636
CAGCCGUGGCCCCAGGGACCGGCGCGCACGCCAGGGCCGCGCUCUGGCGGGUCACCCCGAGGCUGUUGACAAUUGAAUAAACACGCUGUAGCCUUGCGAUCUGUCAGUGGCUGAGGCCGCCA